GGGGUUGUGGCUCAGUGGUAGAGUGCUUGCCUAGCAUGCAAGAGGCGCUGGGUUUGAUCCCUGGUACCACA
rnacentral:tRNA from 1 species